rnacentral:misc_RNA from 1 species
GAAAUGCGAUACUUGGUGUGAAUUGCAGAAUCCCGCGAACCAUCGAGUCUUUGAACGCAAGUUGCGCCCGAAGCUAUUAGGUUGAGGGCACGUCUGCCUGGGCAUCUCACGUUGCGUCGCCCGCGCCCCCUUACCCCCCAUGAAGGGGAGAAGAAGGGCUGUGGGCAGAUGUUGGCCCCCCGCACGCGGUCGGCCCAAAAAUGAGUCCCCCGCGACGGACGACGUGUCACGACGAGUGGUGGUUGACAAACCAUUGGGUCGCCUCGCGCGCGUCCGGUCCGUCACGGGAGGCCUAUCGUGACCCUAUCGCGCCGCCGACAAGGCGCUCUGAUCGCGACCCCAGGUCAGGCGGGAUGACCCGCUGAGUUUAA